AGCAGCUGCGCCACCGGCUCAGCCUCGCGGCGGGGGAAACCCGAGCUCCCAACAAAACAGUUCCAUCUUUGGCUAGGCCUUUGAUGUUAUGUGGUCAACAGGGACUGAGGCUCUUUAAGCCCUUAAAUCUCUAAGGGCUAAAUCUCCUUCCUGAUAUUCGCCCCCAAACCGGCACCAAAGAAGGCCCAGAGAGGUUUAACAACUUCCUCAGAAUCACACAGCUUCCAAAUGGUUGGGUUGGGUUUACAUUUAGGCGGUCUUGCUCCAGAGCCAGUGCACCUAACCUUUGCAAGCCACGAACCUCAACAAAGUGGAGAAGGAAACGCUGGGAAAUUUGGAAGUCAGACAUGGCAACCUAGUUUAUCUCCCGGGAGCUGACUUCAUUUCUAAACGUAUAGGGGUUUCUUAGAGGAGCUUCAGAAUACUAAUCAUCGCUAGUGAGGGCACUUGGACACUUUGCU
rnacentral:lncRNA from 1 species